rnacentral:rRNA from 1 species
AGUGGCGUACGGGUGAGUAACACGUGGAUUAUCUACCUCUUAGUGUGGAAUAACCCUGGGAAACCGGGGCUAAUACCGCAUAAGCUCGAGAGAGGAAAGCAGCAAUGCGCUGAGAGAGGAGUCCGCGGCCGAUUAGCUAGUUGGCAGGGUAAAAGCCUACCAAGGCAAAGAUCGGUAGCCGGCCUGAGAGGGCACACGGCCACACUGGCACUGAAACACGGGCCAGACUCCUACGGGAGGCAGCAGUGGGGAAUCUUGCACAAUGGGGGAAACCCUGAUGCAGCGACGCCGCGUGAGCGAUGAAGCCCUUCGGGGUGUAAAGCUCUUUCGGCAGGGAAGAUUAUGACGGUACCUGCAGAAGCAGCUGCGGCUAACUACGUGCCAGCAGCCGCGGUAAUACGUAGGCAGCAAGUGUUGUUCGGAGUUACUGGGCGUAAAGGGUGUGUAGGCGGUUGCUUAAGUUUGGUGUGAAAUCUCCCGGCUCAACUGGGAGGGUGCGCCGAAUACUGAGUGACUCGAGUGCGGGAGAGGAAAGUGGAAUUCCUGGUGUAGCGGUGAAAUGCGUAGAUAUCAGGAGGAACACCGGUGGUGUAGACGGCUUUCUGGACCGUAACUGACGCUGAAACACGAAAGCGUGGGUAGCAAACAGGAUUAGAUACCCUGGUAGUCCACGCCCUAAACGAUGCACAUUUGGUGUGAGUCAUUCAGUUGAUUCGUGCCGGAGCUAACGCGUUAAAUGUGCCGCCUGGGGAGUACAGUCGCAAGGCUGAAACUCAAAGGAAUUGACGGGGGCCCGCACAAGCGGUGGAGCAUGUGGUUCAAUUCGA